AUGUGCUGGAACGUGCGAGGGCUCAACUCGCCGGCCCGACGAGCUGUUGUGUGCGAGACGGCAAAGACACACAAGCUGGCCCUUCUCUGCCUGCAAGAGACCAAGAUCGACAAAUGGAACAGAUCGUUAGUUAGAGAUGUUGGCGGGAGCAGGCUAGCCGACUGCGUCGUUCUCCCGGCGACUGGCACUCAUGGAGGCGUAGCGAUUUUCUGGGACAAAAGCCGCGUAGCCGUGCAGUCCCAUGCCAUCGGCCAUUUCUCCAUCAUGGCCAAGGUUACCCUAGCUGCUUCAGCUUCAUCCUUUUGGAUAACAACC
rnacentral:rRNA from 1 species